GAGGGCGAGGGCCUGGGCGCUGCGGGGGCUGCCUGGCCCGGACUCAGGCACCAAGCGGGCACGGCAGCUGGGAGCGCAGGUGCUGCCCUGGAAAUGGGGUGGUUGUCCUGGGAGGGGGCGGGACAGGGGAAAUAAAGGGGGAAUUUAACCCUUCCUUCCCCCAGGCUUGGCUGCGGAGGGGAGAGGCCUUGACCAAGCCCUGCGCCAUCUGCCUCCAGCAUCUCUCCAGUCCUGGUUGUGGCUGCUCUGAGGGUCCCCAUCCCUCAAGACCUGCUCCUCAUCACUCCAGGCCCUAAAGUGACUGGUGAAGAUAGGGCCCUUGGCCAAAAACCAAGCCCUCUUCUCUUCCAUAUUCUGCCAGAGGGUAUUGAAGCCCUGCGACAAACAGAUGGACUAACAGGCAGACAGACAUAUCACUUGGGCAACAAAAGCAACACAAAAAAGAGGUCGUUGUCAUAUCCCGAAGACCCGGGAGGAAGAAAAGAUAAACGGACCAAGGGAAAGAUAAGACUAAGUGGCCCAUGGGCCAACAUGCACAGUUAGGAGAAGGAGCCCCGGAUUCCAGUCCUGGUUCUGCUGUGUGACCCUGGAUCAGCUGCUGCUCCUCUCUGGGUCUUUUCUGCCUCUGUACAAACAGGGAGUUGCAGUAGGUGUUUUUUGAGGCAACAGGACUCUCAAAGACACUGCAGCAGUUGUAUAAACAGGGAGAGGAGCUGGGGGCCUUGAGGGCCUGGUUAGAGCCAUAAAAGCCCCUCCCCAGAGGCUCUCCGCAGCCUCUUCCCCGCCCUAGGCCUGGGCUCCAGUCUGGGUUGAAGCACCAGAGGCCAACAGCACCCCCUGCCCCCAACAUGCAUAAACACAUGUGCUCCUCCGA